GCAAUUUGUGCCCGAAGCAAAUAGGCCAAGGGCAUGUCUAGCUAGGUGUCACA
rnacentral:rRNA from 1 species